UACGGAGGGUGCAAGCGUUAAUCGGAAUUACUGGGCGUAAAGCGCACGCAGGUGGCUGAGUCAGUCGAUUGUGAAAGCCCUGGGCUUAACCUGGGAAUUGCAGUCGAUACUACUCAGCUAGAGUAUGGGAGAGGGCAGUGGAAUUCCCGGUGUAGCGGUGAAAUUCGUAGAUAUUGGGAAGAACACCGGUGGCGAAGGCGGCGCUCUGGACCGAGACUGACGCUGAGGCGCGAAAGCGUGGGGAGCAAACAGG
rnacentral:rRNA from 1 species